rnacentral:rRNA from 1 species
AUGCAAGUCGAGCGGAGCUUUUAAAGCUUGCUUUUGAAAGGUCAGCGGCGGACGGGUGAGUAACACGUGGGCAACCUGCCUGUAAGACUGGGAUAACUUCGGGAAACCGGAGCUAAUACCGGAUAAUAUAAGGAACCUCCUGGUUCUUUAUUGAAAGAUGGUUUCGGCUAUCACUUACAGAUGGGCCCGCGGCGCAUUAGCUAGUUGGUGAGGUAAUGGCUCACCAAGGCGACGAUGCGUAGCCGACCUGAGAGGGUGAUCGGCCACACUGGGACUGAGACACGGCCCAGACUCCUACGGGAGGCAGCAGUAGGGAAUCUUCCACAAUGGACGAAAGUCUGAUGGAGCAACGCCGCGUGAGCGAUGAAGGCCUUCGGGUCGUAAAGCUCUGUUGUUAGGGAAGAACAAGUGCGAGAGUAACUGCUUGCACCUUGACGGUACCUAACCAGAAAGCCACGGCUAACUACGUGCCAGCAGCCGCGGUAAUACGUAGGUGGCAAGCGUUGUCCGGAAUUAUUGGGCGUAAAGCGCGCGCAGGUGGUCCUUUAAGUCUGAUGUGAAAGCCCACGGCUCAACCGUGGAGGGUCAUUGGAAACUGGGGGGACUUGAGUGCAAAAGAGGAGAGU